rnacentral:rRNA from 1 species
CAAUAGCGUAUAUUUAAGUUGUUGCAGUUAAAAAGCUCGUAGUUGGAUUUCGGGUAGGAUUUGCCGGUCCGUCUUUGAGAUGUGUACUGGUAAGUCCUAUCUUCUUGUCGGGGACCAGCUCCUGGGCUUCACUGUCCGGGACUGGGAGCCGACGAAGUUACUUUGAGUAAAUUAGAGUGUUCAAAGCAAGCUUACGCUCUGAAUAUAAUAGCAUGGGAUAACACGACAGGACUCUGGCCUAUCGUGUUGGUCUAUAGGACCAGAGUAAUGAUUAAGAGGGACAGUCGGGGGCAUUCGUAUUCCGUUGUCAGAGGUGAAAUUCUUGGAUUUACGGAAGACGAACAUCUGCGAAAGCAUUUGCCAAGGAUGUUUNCAUUG